rnacentral:rRNA from 1 species
UACAGAGGUCCCGAGCGUUGUUCGGAUUCACUGGGCGUAAAGGGUGCGUAGGUGGCAGGGUAAGUCGGAUGUGAAAGCUCGGAGCUCAACUCCGAAAUGGCAUUGGAAACUACCCAGCUCGAGGGUUGGAGGGGGGACUGGAAUGCUUGGUGUAGCAGUGAAAUGCGUAGAUAUCAAGCGGAACACCGAUGGCGAAGGCAGCCCCCUGGGUCAAGAUUGACGCUCAUGCACGAAAGCGUGGGGAGCAAACAGG